GAUGAACGCUGGCGGCGUGCCUAAUACAUGCAAGUCGAGCGAACAGACGAGGAGCUUGCUCCUCUGACGUUAGCGGCGGACGGGUGAGUAACACGUGGAUAACCUACCUAUAAGACUGGGAUAACUUCGGGAAACCGGAGCUAAUACCGGAUAAUAUAUUGAACCGCAUGGUUCAAUAGUGAAAGACGGUUUUGCUGUCACUUAUAGAUGGAUCCGCGCCGCAUUAGCUAGUUGGUAAGGUAACGGCUUACCAAGGCAACGAUGCGUAGCCGACCUGAGAGGGUGAUCGGCCACACUGGAACUGAGACACGGUCCAGACUCCUACGGGAGGCAGCAGUAGGGGAUCUUCCGCAAUGGGCGAAAGCUUGACGGAGCAACGCCGCGUGAGUGAUGAAGGUCUUCGGAUCGUAAAACUCUGUUAUUAGGGAAGAACAAAUGUGUAAGUAACUAUGCACGUCUUGACGGUACCUAAUCAGAAAGCCACGGCUAACUACGUG
rnacentral:rRNA from 1 species